AUUGAACGCUGGCGGCAUGCUUUACACAUGCAAGUCGAACGGCAGCGCGGGCUUCGGCCUGGCGGCGAGUGGCGAACGGGUGAGUAAUACAUCGGAACGUGCCCAGUAGUGGGGGAUAGCUCGGCGAAAGCCGGAUUAAUACCGCAUACGACCUGAGGGUGAAAGCGGGGGAUCUUCGGACCUCGCGCUAUUGGAGCGGCCGAUGGCAGAUUAGCUAGUUGGUGGGGUAAAGGCCUACCAAGGCGACGAUCUGUAGCUGGUCUGAGAGGACGACCAGCCACACUGGGACUGAGACACGGCCCAGACUCCUACGGGAGGCAGCAGUGGGGAAUUUUGGACAAUGGGCGAAAGCCUGAUCCAGCAAUGCCGCGUGUGUGAUGAAGGCCUUCGGGUUGUAAAGCACUUUUGGCGGGAACGAAAAGGACCGUGCUAAUACCAUGGUUCGAUGACGUACCCGCAGAAUAAGCACCG
rnacentral:rRNA from 1 species